GAAUUCCUUCCAUUCUGCUACCAUAGAUUCGGCCUGAGUUUCUGUGACAUGAUGACUAGCUGAUUUCCAAGAACCCCCACUAGCUUCCAGUUGCUUUGCCCAAUUGCGUGCUUGCUCCCAAUGUCCAUUAUUUUCUAGCGCUGUUAAAAGUGAUGCAUCAUCUAGAGCCUCAUUUCCAAGGUGCAGGUCAUCAUCUAUACGUAAUGAAGGCUCUGCUAAAUUGAUUUUCCAAUAUAGUCGUCGAUAAUACGUGGCAGAAAAUCCUCCAUCGCCAAAAUCUGUUGCAGCUAGAAGUUUCAGUAGGCAUCUUCUUUCAUAUGGAGAUGGACAAACAGACAGUACAGCAUUGGCAG
rnacentral:misc_RNA from 1 species